rnacentral:rRNA from 1 species
AACCCUCGCCUUAGUUGCCAGCAUUCAGUUGGGCACUCUAGAGGGGACUGCCGGUGUCAAACCGGAGGAAGGUGGGGAUGACGUCAAGUCCUCAUGGCCUUUAUGUCUAGGGCUACACACGUACUACAAUGGCCGGUACAAAGGGCAGCCACUCAGCGAUGAGGCGCUAAUCCCAUAAAGCCGGUCUCAGUCCGGAUCGCAGUCUGCAACUCGACUGCGUGAAGUUGGAAUCGCUAGUAAUCGUAGAUCAGCAUGCUACGGUGAAUACGUUCCCGGGCCUU